rnacentral:rRNA from 1 species
AUUGAACGCUGGCGGCAGGCCUAACACAUGCAAGUCGAGCGGAUGAAGGGAGCUUGCUCCUGGAUUCAGCGGCGGACGGGUGAGUGAUGCCUAGGAAUCUGCCUGGUAGUGGGGGAUAACGUCCGGAAACGGGCGCUAAUACCGCAUACGUCCUGAGGGAGAAAGGGGGGGAGCUUCGGACCUCACGCUAUCAGAUGAGCCUAGGUCGGGUUAGCUAGUUGGUGGGGUAAAGGCCUACCAAGGCGACGAUCCGUAACUGGUCUGAGAGGAUGAUCAGUCACACUGGAACUGGGACACGGUCCAGACUCCUACGGAAGGCACCAGUGGGGAAUAUUGGACAAUGGGCGAAAGCCUAACCCAGCCAUGCGGCGUGGGUGAAGAAGGUCUUCGGAUUGUAAAGCACUUUAAGUUGGGAGGAAGGGCAGUAAGUUAAUACCUUGCUGUUUGGACGUUACCAACAGAAUAAACAUCGGCUAACUUCGU